rnacentral:rRNA from 1 species
GUCUACGGACAUACCACCCUGAACAUGGGUGAUCUCAUCUGAUCUCAGAAGCUAAGCAGGGUUGGGCCUAGUCAAUACUUGGAUGGGAGAAAGUCAUUUCAUCGUAACUAUGCCCUGAGGUUA